GCAUUUGACGGUGCUCGUAGUAGCACAAAAGAACGCAGGUGGCGUGAUUGUAAAAAAAACGUUACAAAAAGACGGCGCGCGUGUUGAGCAAAUAAGUUCGGUGUGCGUGAAGUAAAGGUGUAGUGUGAAGUAAGCGAAAUGGCGGAAGAAAGAGUGUUGAACCUGAUACAAGACUAUACGCGCACGGAACUCAUGCGGUUAUGUGAGUUGAAAAGUCUACCUGCAACGGGAACAAAGGAAGAGAUGGCGAUACAAUUGAUGGAAUAUGAUCAGCAAACAUCAAAAAGUGGAUCGGCUGACAUAGAGCAAUUUCAUGAUGUCGAUUCAGAAUCAGUUCAAGAUUCGGGACAGGCAUCAGGUGUACAUGAAAUGGAUUCGGCGGUAAAAACGUUAAUGCGUCCUUAUUCGUUUAGAGAUGUAGAGGAAAGUAUUCUUACGUACGGUUCCGAUAAGACGAUCGAUUUCUGUGUGUGGAUGAAUGAAUUUGAAGCGGUUGCGCGAAUGGCAAAAUGGGCCGAUGAACAAAAAGUCAUCAUGUGUCGCAAGAAAAUGACCGGCAGUGCGCGGAAUUUCUUACUCACGAUUUGCAACAUAACGUCAUUUUCGGCAUUGAAAAAAGCACUUUAGGUCGAGUUUGGGAAAAGAGUGCGUCGCACUGAUGUUCAUCGCCAGCUAGCAACAUGUCGACGUGCAAAGGACGAGACGGCGCUUGAUUUUAUCUAUAGAAUGCAACGCAUUGCUAAACAGAUAGAUUUGGACGAGGAGAGCAUAUGUGAGUACAUCAUAGAUGGGAUUACGGAAGACGAAACGCAGAGAGCUGCUUUAUAUGAAGUGCGUACGAUCAGUGCUUUAAAAGUGAAAAUUCAAUUCCGAGAGCGUGCUAUUCAGAAAGGAGCGACCCGAAAAACAUUCAGAGCUUCGCAGAAUACCGUCGCCAAACAAAAACGAUGAGCACAAAAGUUCGUUUUUAUAAUUGUAGUGAAACCGGUCAUUGUAGUUCUGAGUGUGUGCGUAAGAACAGCGGACCGAAAUGUUUCAAGUGUGGUGAGUUUGGACAUGUGUCGUCGAAAUGCACAAUAAAAGAUGAUUGAGCGACCAACCAACAAAACGUGUUACUGGUGAAAAAGCUUCCAAGUAUUUCAGUAAGAAUAGCGAGCGAAAAAUAUAAUGUGGCUGUCGACACAGGUAGUGAAGUGACAUUGUUACGAUCAGACGUGCAUAAGCUGAUUCCAAACAAUCUGCAGAAGUGGAGCCCAACGACACAAAGGCUUUACGGUCUGGGUGGCAAAGUAACAAACACUUCAAGAGAAGCUAUUGUCUUUGCAACUGUCGGCGAAGCAGAAUAUGAGGUAAGAUUUGACAUUGUUCCUGAUGCGGCACUUGAGGUACCGAUGUUAUUAGGAAUGAAUUUCCUUAGAAGUGUUGAUUUUGUGAUUACCAAUACGGGCGUAACGGUACAGCGUAAAAAAGUAGAUAAAAGCGAGACAAGUGGUACAGGAAAUGAUGAAAACGUGGAAGAGAAUCCAUCGUGGAUUUUUCAAAUUUCAUGUGAACGUGAUGAGUUGGAUGUUCCGUAUGAGUGGCGACAAGAGGUAGCGAAUAUAGUGAACAAUUAUGUACCCGUCGGAAAAGUGAAUUCCAAUUGUAAGCUAAAUAUUGUGGUGCAGGACAAUAGUGUUGUUCGGAUAAAUCCGCGUAGGUUGGCUCCGUUGGAAAGAAAAUUGUUCGGGAGAAGAUCGAACAAUGGUUUCGUGACGAUAUUAUUCGACCAGAAAGUGCAUUCGCGAGUGCAGUGGUAGUGGUUCCGAAAAAGACGGUUCUCAUUGGGUGUGCAUCGACUAUCAUGAGAUAAACAAGAGAAUCGUUCGUGAUCCCUAUCCUAUGCCGAAUAUAGAGGAUCAAAUUGAUCAGCUUGCUGAUGCUAGAGUGUACACCACUUUAGAUUUGAAGAACUCAUACUUCCACGUACCGGUAAAGCAAGAAUGUAGAAAGUACACACCCUUUGUAACAUCAGAAGGGCAGUACGAGUUUAUGCGUGCACCGUUUGAGCUUUGUACGAGUGGUAGUGCGUUGGGGAGAUUUAUCAGUUCAGUGUUCCGGAACUUGAUAAAUGAAGGAGUAAUGUUGGUGUUUGUCGAUGAUGUCAUCAUCCCAUCGCGAGACGAGGAGCAGGGGCUAGCAGCGAUCAGGCGUGUGUUGCAUGUAGCGCAAAGUGCGGGCCUGAAAUUUAAUUGGAAGAAAUGCGUAUUCCUUCAACGACGUGUCGAGUAUCUGGGAUACCAAAUCUACGAAGGGCGAAUCGAACCAUCGUCGCAGAAAGUGGAAAAGCGCAUGAUCACAUGAUCCAGUCAUCGAGUUUGCUGUGCUCCGCUUUGCCUCAUACCGAAUCCAGCAUCCUCAUGACAUGCCUCAGCCAUCGUAUCCUGCCAGCCUUCGCUACCGUCAGCAUCCGCAAGCUCUUGGGUCAUCCUUCUUCUCGACGCUACAUGCUUGAACACACCGCUAAAUAUGACCAGGAGGAUGCGUCUCUCACGAAUAGAGCGUUUGCAUCCUCCGCUAGGAUGGUCCAAGACUCCUGUCCAUAGAGGACCACCGGGCGAAUCAUAUACGAUAUAUCUCACAUUUCUUGUAGGCUCGUGACUUCUGGCUCUCAGCAGUCAAUGAAGCCGUUGUCCGAAGUAACUCAAGAUAGCAUUAUAAUGCAUAUUUUACAGUUUAGAGAAGGUUACCACUUGCAGUGAUUAGUUACUUGUUAAUUAAGAUAACUGAUAAUUAGUGUUAUUUUUUCAACCGUGGCUAAUGAUGAUGAAAGCUAGUGUAUAUGUAUUUUGUUGUUUUUGUUUGGAUGCUGCCUCAAAUGCGUGUUGAAUUACUGCAGGAAUGUCUGUUUUCGUCAUUUAAUAAAGACCAGCAUAGAAUACGUAUCUUGGAAAGCUGAAUAGUUUGCAAGCAAGAGUUUAUGAAAAUAAAAAUUAAAAUUUUUUACCUUACAUAAAA